rnacentral:rRNA from 1 species
CCGAUGCUAAUAUCGCAUAACGCAGCGGCACCGCAAGGUGACAGUUGUUAAAGAAGCAAUUCGCUUGAGGAGGAGCUUGCGGCAGAUUAGCUAGUUGGUAAGGUAAUGGCUUACCAAGGCUACGAUCUGUAUCCGGUCUAAGAGGACGGUCGGACACACUGACACUGAAUAACGGGUCAGACUCCUACGGGAGGCAGCAGUCGGGAAUUUUGGGCAAGGGGGGAAACCCUGACCCAGCAACGCCGCGUGAAGGAUGAAGCCUCUUCGGGGUGUAAACUUCGAAAGAAUGGGAAGAAAACUAAUGAC